AAUCUUAUUUUUGGCUUGACAUUUUAUAUUUUCCUUUUAUAAACUCAGACAUACGAACUGCAGCAAUCAGUUCCAGGGUUUGAUUUUAUGCUGGGAUCUGGUAUCAAUAAUCCAAAUAGUAUAUACCCUGCCAUUCCCAGUGAAAGCUCGGCAAUUCCUCCAACUUUGCAAGUCAGCCUUCAAGUGCCGAAUGUACCAGCAGCUCCUACACUCCUCGGGAAAGGGUAAGAUUUGGAUAUCCUUCCUCAAUGCAAACAAAAGAAUUUAAGCAUGCUUCAUGGAAAAUGAAUGUGAA
rnacentral:lncRNA from 1 species